rnacentral:rRNA from 1 species
GACAGAGGAUGCAAACGUUGUUCGGAAUUACUGGGCGUAAAGCGAGUGUAGGCGGUCUGCUAAGUCGGGUGUGAAAGCCCUGGGCUCAACCCAGGAAGUGCACUCGAAACUGGCAGGCUAGAGUACUGGAGAGGUUGGUGGAAUUCUCGGUGUAGAGGUGAAAUUCGUAGAUAUCAGGAGGAACACCGGUGGCGAAGGCGGUGGUCUGGGCCGGCACUGACGCUGAGGAGCGAAAGCGUGGGUAGCAAACAGG